GUGCUUGCUUUGCGAGCACAUUGACUAAAAUUGAAACAAUAUGAGAAGAUUAGCAUGGCCCCUGCACAAGAAUAACUUCAAAUUUGUGAAAUGUUCUUUAUUUUU
ensembl:snRNA U6 U6 spliceosomal RNA